rnacentral:rRNA from 1 species
GGAAGUAAAAGUCGUAACAAGGUUUCCGUAGGUGAACCUGCGGAAGGAUCAUUACCGAGUGAGGGCCCUCUGGGUCCAACCUCCCACCCGUGUUUAUCGUACCUUGUUGCUUCGGCGGGCCCGCCUCACGGCCGCCGGGGGGCAUCCGCCCCCGGGCCCGCGCCCGCCGAAGACACACAAACGAACUCUUGUCUGAAGAUUGCAGUCUGUGUACUUGACUAAAUCAGUUAAAACUUUCAACAACGGAUCUCUUGGUUCCGGCAUCGAUGAAGAACGCAGCGAAAUGCGAUAAGUAAUGUGAAUUGCAGAAUUCAGUGUAUCAUCGAGUCUUUGAACGCACAUUGCGCCCCCUGGUAUUCCGGGGGGCAUGCCUGUCCGAGCGUCAUUGCUGCCCUCAAGCACGGCUUGUGUGUUGGGCUCUCGCCCCCCGCUUCCGGGGGGCGGGCCCGAAAGGCAGCGGCGGCACCGCGUCCGGUCCUCGAGCGUAUGGGGCUUCGUCACCCGCUCUGUAGGCCCGGCCGGCGCCCGCCGGCGAACACCAUCAAUCUUAACCAGGUUGACCUCGGAUCAGGUAGGGAUACCCGCUGAACUUAAGCAUAUCAAUAAGCGGAGGAAA